rnacentral:rRNA from 1 species
UACGUAGGAGGCAAGCGUUGUCCGGAAUUACUGGGCGUAAAGCGCGUGUAGGUGGUGGGACAAGUCUGCUGUGAAAGCGCCUGGCUUAACCGGGCGAGGUCGGCGGAAACUGUCGCACUCGAGGACGGUAGAGGGGGGUGGAAUUCCCGGUGUAGUGGUGAAAUGCGUAGAGAUCGGGAGGAACACCUGUGGCGAAGGCGGCCCCCUGGGCCGCACCUGACGCUGAGACGCGAAAGCGUGGGGAGCGAUCCGG